rnacentral:rRNA from 1 species
AUUGAACGCUGGCGGCAGGCCUAACACAUGCAAGUCGAACGAGUGGCGGACGGGUGAGUAAUGUCUGGGAAACUGCCUGAUGGAGGGGGAUAAGUACUGGAAAAGGUAGCUAAUACCGCAUACCAUCAGAUGGGCCGAGAUGGGAUUAGCUAGUUGGUGGGGUAAAGGCUGACCAAGGCGACGAGCCCUAGCUGGUCUGAGAGGAUGACCGGCCACACUGGAACUGAGACACGGUCCAGACUCCUACGGGAGGCAGCAGUGGGGAAUAUUGCACAAUGGGCGCAAGCCUGAUACAGCCACGCCGCGUGGAUGAAGAAGGCCUUCGGGUUGUAAAGUACUUUCAGCAGGGAGGCGUUACCCGCAGAAGAAGCACCGGCUAACUCCGUGCCAGCCGCCGCGGUAAUUC